GUCCCGUCAGAGAUGAAUUCGUACAACUGGUGUAGGUUAGUCACGGACAGUUUGAUGAAAGGCGUCAGAAAGAUCAAAUCCGAUAUCGCCAAUGGCAACAUCACAAUUCACAUAGUUGGAUGUCACCUUCUCCUCCAGGUAAUUGCUUUGGACAAGAUCGAAAAAUCAAGCAGGCACAUUGCACAGAAUAUCCUCCCCCAUGUCAAAGUUUUCGAUCACGAAUCAGUAAAGAAGGCAAUUGACUCAAUUACAUCCCACGAAGGACAAGAAGUUUUUUUGCUGUCACAGAUGUAAUCUCAAAAGCAUUUUUAUUCAACACCAUUAAUUCUUCCUUUUGCCUGCAGUCUUUUUUUGUUCACACAUGUUACGUGUUGUUGUUUUUUAGUGUGAUCUGAAGGAGGUUGUUCAUUCAGAGAAUAUUAUAUCGAAUAUAAAAGUUCACCAUCCCAACCAUGUCACAAACAAGAUAUGUGACCCUUCAUCUUCAAAGGUCCCCCUUCGUGCUGCUAGUAAGAUUAAUUAAGCCACGAAGCACUAUUGGCCCUGUAGAGUUUGCCAACAUAAUGAGACGCGAGUACCCAAACAUGGCAAAUGACCUCGUUGGAAUCAUUCUCAAGGAGCACAAUACCAGGCUUAUGGCAAACAUCUCCGAGAUACGCACACCACCCAAAUUGGGAUGCUAAAAUUUCUCGACGAGCUAGGGGCAUGUUUGUCCAGCAGAUGCAUAUGUUGCCAACUUGCCGGUCUUACGACAUGCCGUUUGGUAGAUACCAACACAGCAGGACAAAUAAUUGUCAAUGACCGGCUGGGACAACAGCACGAUCUUUCCGACAGCGAAGGCAGCUCCACUGGGCAUGUACAUCAAGCUCGGAAAAAGGGUAUAUGUACAGAGCAGUGAUAACAUUAUGGACGACACGCACAUCGGCCAAAACCGCACUAUUAUAACCAACAAGGCACUUAUGUUCAUGACGGCAACCACGACAAUCCAUCCACUCCAGAAAGGGGCAUCGACUCAUCCGCUGACCUAACGAGCCUUGUUUUCUAUCAUGAUGGUCUUUUUUCCAGUAUCGUACUCGCUUACCAAGAUUGCACGGGAGUUUCUUUCUCACAGUUAACAGACACGACCCCACCCGCCAGACAUUUAUCUUGAAAAUCAUUUGUGUCAGACCCAUGGUCUUCGACUCCACCGUCACACACCCCACCGGCUGAUUCAAGCAAAAUCUUUGCAUUCUGCAUCUCUAAUGAUCAGCCUGACAGCAUGUCUAGGACAUGGAUCGAGCACCCCACGCCCAGGCUGUUGUUAGUGCAGGGGUAUAUUUUACGUGACUAGAUCAUCAGAAAAGAUGCAAUAAGCCAUGAAUGCUUGACUCAUUGUUCGUCGAUUAGCACAAAUCCAACACACCAAUUCAAAAGAUGGAGAUUUUGCAAUUUGGCGAAAGUUCGUCGAGCCAGACUUUACGACACUUGCCAUCCGCAACAUAGACCCAACGUUGGCCGUCUUAGUCCAAACAGAACUCCUAAUGGAGAAACACAUCGACCAGUGCCGGAUGUUCAUUUUCCACCCCUCUGCAUUAUGGAUGGUGCUGUUAUAUUUUAGAUAUGCUGAGGAAGAGGAUUGUUGUUCUAGAUCCGCAAGCAGGCCCAUUUGGAUUUACAUCCGACAGAGUCAAAUUCCAUGAACAAAUCAGUCAUGCUAUCCGUGGGGCAUUCUUCAAAUGUGUGCAAACUUUAUUCUCCAGUUGGCCAGGCACUUGUGAUGGAUGGACCAGAGAGUUUCCUACUUUGAUGAUAGAAAAAAUUGCAAGUGAGGAGUCCACCAUCUAUUCGUUAUUCAUGGCAAGGCACUAUGAGGCGAGACACUACGGAACCCGACCACGAAGG